rnacentral:tRNA from 1 species
GUUUUUGUAGUUGAGUAACAACGGCGGUUUUUCAUAUCGUUAGUCCUGAAUUGAGAUGUCAGGCAAGAAUU